AUCCAGCUGAUUAAUCCCGAAUAGGACGAAACGCGCGUCCUGGAU
rfam:Schistosoma haematobium scaffold1341_33, whole genome shotgun sequence.